rnacentral:tRNA from 1 species
GCAUCUGUGGUUCAGUGGUAAAAUGCUCGCCUGCCACGCGGGGGGCCCGGGUUCGAUUCCCGGCCGAUGCA